rnacentral:lncRNA from 1 species
GGGCAAGUAACUUGUGCCACUUUAAGAGUUAGAAAAAAGGAGUGUUUUUCAGGAUCUUUAGUUCUGCUACAGAGUCAUUGUAUCAUCUCAGCUAAUUAAUUUCACCUUUUAUAUGCUUCAGUAUUUCCAUCUGUGAAUGAACUAAUGACACCUACUUAAAGGCAGCAUUGUGAAGAUUAAUUAAUUGACAUUAUUGAAGUAUCCUGAGGUGGAAAUUCUGAUGUAAGUACAAAAUAUUGUUACUGAUACUUCCUAAUUAAUCAGCUCACAGUAGCCAGCAUGUGGUAAUCAUAUUGGUCUAGAGCAAACAAACAGAACUGGAUUAUAUUUGAAAUCUGUGGUUCACUCUCUCUCUCUCUCUCAUUUCUGUUUUUACAUGUUAAAGGAACAAUCUUAUGCACUGAGUGAACACUUAUGAAGUAUCUCACGAACACCGCAUGCACAAUGAAUAUGGUUUUGUAUCGCUUCUUAGUGUUCUUUGUCAUUUCCAACCGCAUCCUCCAGAAGGUAAAACAAGUCCUUGCUCAGCCUGUAGAAAGAAGAUUGGAAAGAGUUUGAUGGGAAUUACCAGAGCCUGCUGCCUCCCAGCUGCUGCCUGACUUUGAGUGUCAAGCAAUCAGAAAUACCAAGAUGUGUGGCAUUUCUUCAGUGUGGUGAAGGGCAGUUUUGUUCGCUUCUGACAGGUGGGUCAGCCAUUCUUGGAGCAGCAGACAGCUCGAAGUGUGUUAAUGGGGUAACUGCCAAAGUGUGUUAAUGGUGUAACUGCCAAAAAAUGAUCCUGAAGGCAUUCCCAAUACUUCCAAGAAUAUCAUACCAAGCAAAACCACUUCUUAUGGUCAUGUGGGACACACACAGAUCAGAGUUAGAGUUGGGCUAGCAGCUAUGCCAUGUGAUGUGAGUAAAUUACCGUCUCUCUCCUCUCAAUUUAGUCACUUAUUAAACUGGGAAAUAGUCUCAGCAUGCUGUACGAGGGUACUGGGAAGACAACUUAGCCUCAGCUAAAAGUGUGCUUAAAAUUUUGCAUUGGAGAGCAUAAUAGAAGUGUGAAGCAUCUUAUGUUAGACGCUGUGGAAUUAGCAAGCAUGGCUAAUCCCUAGCAUUCAACAAUAAUUUCUCUGUACUGGGACAGAAAUACAACACCAAUAAGAAAAGUGCAGUGGCUAGACCAAUGGCAGCUGCAAUAAAGCAGCAUUUCGAUUUGUUAGUCUCUCA